rfam:Triticum urartu cultivar G1812 contig44270, whole genome shotgun sequence.
AACAUACUCCCUCCGUUCGAAAUUACUUGUCGUAGGAAUGGAUGUAUCUAAAUGUGUUUUAGUUCUAGAUAUAUCCAUUUCCGAGACAAGUAAUUUUGAACGGAGGAAGUAUAUC